UACGUAGGCAGCGAGCGUUGUUCGGAGUUACUGGGCGUAAAGGGCGCGUAGGCGGCAGGCCAAGCGUGCGGUGAAAGUCCGGGGCUCAACCCCGGAUCUGCCGUGCGGACUGGUUUGCUAGAGCACUGUAGAGGCGAGUGGAAUUCCGGGUGUAGCGGUGGAAUGCGUAGAGAUCCGGAGGAACACCGGUGGCGAAGGCGGGUCUCUGGGCCGAUACUGACGCUGAGGAGCGAAAGCGUGGGGAGCGAACAGG
rnacentral:rRNA from 1 species